rnacentral:rRNA from 1 species
AGUUUGAUCCUGGCUCAGAUUGAACGCUGGCGGCAGGCCUAACACAUGCAAGUCGAACGGUAAAGCAGCUUGCUGCUUACGAGUGGCGGACGGGUGAGUAAUGUCUGGGAAGCUGCCUGAUGGAGGGGGAUAACUACUGGAAACGGUAGCUAAUACCGCAUAAUGUCGCAAGACCAAAGAGGUUCGUCUUGCCAUCGGAUGUGCCCAGAUGGGAUUAGCUUGUUGGUGGGGUAACGGCUCACCAAGGCGACGAUCCCUAGCUGGUCUGAGAGGAUGACCAGCCACACUGGAACUGAGACACGGUCCAGACUCCUACGGGAGGCAGCAGUGGGGAAUAUUGCACAAUGGGCGCAAGCCUGAUGCAGCCAUGCCGCGUGUAUGAAGAAGGCCUUCGGGUUGUAAAGUACUUUCAGCGGGGAGGAAGGGAGUAAAGUAAUCUUUGCUCUUGACGUUACCCGCAGAAGAAGCACCGGCUAACUCCGUGCCAGCAGCCGCGGUAAUACGGAGGGCGCAAGCGUUAAUCGGAAUUACUGGGCGUAAAGCGCACGCAGGCGGUUUGUUAAGUCAGAUGUGAAAUCCCCGGGCUCAACCUGGGAACUGCAUCUGAUACUGGCAAGCUUGAGUCUCGUAGAGGGGGGUAGAAUUCCAGGUGUAGCGGUGAAAUGCGUAGAGAUCUGGAGGAAUACCGGUGGCGAAGGCGGCCCCCUGGACGAGACUGACGCUCAGGUGCGAAAGCGUGGGGAG